UUGAUUAUUGUAACGGUCCCUACCAACGUCUCACCUGGAUUUCGCCCCAUUGUGGCACAAGAAAGGAAUUCCUUUGAGUUCAGGGUUAAAAUGGAGGCCGUUUCAUCCAACGCCCUUCCAGAGGCUUUUAAUUUGAAGGGCUGGCCCGGCAGUUAGCCUUUGUUCUGAGCCAGGUAGACGCCUGGUUGGGAAGCGGCUUCAGGUUGUGUUCGUUUGACACGGUGGUUCUCCCAGAACUCUGUGUACAUGUUAAAGUUCUGCAUGUACUCGGUGGAAGCUUCCAGGGAGAGCAGCAGUCGCGGCAAUGAGCUAAGCUGGCUGAAGGCGUGGGAUUCGGAGUGAUGUCUUUCUCAAGACGAGGGGAGUUCAGGAAGUUGGUCCCCUCCCGGCCCUGGUGUUAAGCGACAGCUCGGGUCCCAGGUUGCCAGCUCAGUUGGGCGUGAUCCGGACUUUGUGAAAACCCAGCGGAGAGCCCGUAGUGUUCUCAGCUUUAAACAUGGCGGUUGGCGUUGCUCAAGACGCUGCUGCUCGUUGAAAGCUCAUUUGGUGAUGUGCCGAAGCCAAGUAGUUCCCUGAACUGCCCAACCGGUCCACCACACCCUGCGGGUGCGUCUGGCCCCCAGCCUUAAUCUAGUGAAAUAUUCGUGUCAGGAAAGUUGCAAGAGGCCUGAAAUCAAGGAGUGUUCGGCCUCCAGGCCAAUUAAAUAAAGUUUUAAGAAUUAAUGGCUGCUGUGGUGGGGAGAGCGUGGGGAUGGGUGCGCUCUUGGGGUAGAUGGACCCCACAAAAUCCCCCUACUUUGUGCCAACAGCAGCAUGUUAAAGGUGAGGGGGGUGUCAGAGGCUGGGCCUCUUGGAUGUUGGGAGGGUGGAGGAAAGGAAGUGACCCGAGUACUCCAGUAGAGGAGUAUUGGGAGGCACAGGAGAAGCUGCAACCCAUGGAAGUAGAAGAUCUGGGAGCCGGCAAAGCUGAGACAGACCCACAAGUGUCAAAGUGGUGGAGCAAAUAUCUCCCAUCCUUAUAUCCGUGGCCAAGGAAAACGGAUACAAGUGGAUUGAGACAAAGGAAAAGUAACGGUCAAAGGGGGGAUCUGUGGCUGAACGAUGCUGAUGGGGACUUUUCUGAUUAUGGAACCCCUCCUCCAUCUCCCAACCCUUCUCAGCUGACAUCUCCAUUCCGAUUCUUUGCAAGCAGCUGGAAUUUGGAGAUUGUGCCUGAGCACUACGAGAUCUGCUUCAACUUCCUCCGCCACUUGUUUGACCUGUUUGUAGUUGCCUUCCUGUGGACUGUGUCCCCUCCUGUCAAACUCAUCCUGGAGGUGUCGGGGGUCCAGGGAGCACUGCGGCUGUGGUUUCAUGGCAUGGCCAUGUUUUUGGUCUCAACAGCUGGGAUGGCAGGAUUACUCUGGUUGAUUCAGGAGUAUCUCCCCCAGUUUGCUUUGAUCUACGGCAUCGUCCAAGCUUUGGUGAUCUCUGUUAGUGUACGACAGAGCGUGAUCCUUGGAGUGGAAGAAGACAAAGAGAGCACGAAGGAGACAGAUGAAAAGAGAGACCAUGCAGAACAGGAGGAGAACCUUGUUUCUAAGGAACUGCUGAAAACGACUUUAACGUAAGAUGAUGCAGGAAUUCAUCUUCAGCCGUUCUCCAGCUGUGUGACGACUGCACAGACACCAACCGAUUGUUUAUACCACUGAAUUCAUGAGUUAUAACCAUAUUUCAUUUUGAUUUGGAGUUUAGUGAAGUUGUUACUUGUUUCUCUCUGUUUUGCCUUAUAUGGUGUCUUUACAUUACAAACAUCUACUGAUCACCCUUAAUGUUUAUAGUAAGACUAUUAAUGCUGAGAAAAGUAGAGUUGUGGGUGUUGAGGAGAAAGGUAUGUCCAAAAACACAAUAGUCACGACUUGCACCCGUGCUGCUGCUUAGUUUUGUUGUGGAAAUCUUUGCUUACUAAACCUUCAGAUUAUCUCCAGGACUCUUUUAAGGAUUUUUCAAGUCUUGGAUUGUUUUUUUCUUUGUAAGAUAAGGCUUCUGCUUUACAGCCCAACACCUUUGUCCAGAUAUUUGGACAAGUUGGAACACAACCAGAAAUCCCUUCAGUAUUGCUGUUAGUCUUAUGGCAGCCUCUCGACCAGUACCCUCCUCCUCCUGAAGGAAACAUAGAUUUGAACAAUUAAAACUGCAAACUAGGGUGUCAACUAAAGAUGGAAAAGGUUUAAAAAUUAUUCAUCAUGACCUCACUCUACAUUACAAAACCCUGGCAAUAGACGUUUGAGAGCCAUUGUAUAUCAGCUACACCUACCGGAUUUGACAUCAGAUUAUUAGUAAUAAGUCAUAAAUACAUCCUCGCCGGGCCUCUUAUUAAUCUUAGUUUGUUUUUCCCAAGUAAGAGGUGAGCCAAAGAGGUUUAGGACGGUAGAAUAGAGAGGGGGCACAUUAGCUGAGUUCGAGAAGGAUGAAAUUGCAUAUUUGGUAUAAGUGCAGCGUACUUUAAUGAGGGAUCUAAAAAAUAUCUUGAGAGCUUGCUAAAAGAGCAAACACUAAAAAGGAACAUUUAAGAAUAGUUUCUCCAGUUAAGCCUUGGUGUUGGAUAUUUCACCUCGUAUUUGGAAAGGAUGUUUUUCUUUUCUUUAGGCGGACGACUGCAGCUUUCCUAAUGAUCCCUAAUGCUGUCUGGGCAUUAGCAAGUGGUGUCCAUUGAAUCUGACAUAACAAAGGGCUCGAUAAGCUCUACUCUUUGGUUUCCUUGAAGGAAUGUCUUCCAGCAAAAUAGAGUCCAGUGUGAUAACAGGACUUGGCUUUAAGAUUAAUUACCUUUUGAUAUUGCCUUCAGUCUCUGCUCCAAGUUCAAAUAGAAAUUGCCAGUUUGCUAGCCUAGGACUAGGGUAGCUCAGUGGCCUGACUCGGUUUGGGACUAGUCUUUUUGGAGCUUUUUAACCCCUGGAAUCCUUCCCACACAUUGUUAAAGGUGUGUGAGACUUUGUUAUUGGGACCUCAAUCUCACAUACCUUCCCCCAGUCUUUUCUUGUGACUUGUUUGGUUGGACAGGGGUUUCAUGUAUAGGUGCCUUUACUGCAGUGAAUAUGAGAGCCUUUGGUUCGGAACAGAAAACUUGCGAGGUCAUCAGAGCACUCAACUACUCCGUACACUACAAAACAUGCUGUUUUUAUCCAAAUAUGGCCUAGUCAUGGAUCUCACAUUUGGAUGCAUUGUCAGAAAAUAUGAGUUAUAAACAUGUAUUGAGUGGAAGUAGAUGAUUGGUCCUGCUAUCCAAGCAACUAAGGAAGUGGAUUCACCUGAAACAAAUUCUACUUCAACAUUUUAAAGGGUGCCUUGAAACAGAGUUUUGUACAUAUAAAAGUAUUAUGUGAAAUAUUUCAACUGCACAUAUGUGCUUCUGCUGUUGAAUUGCUGCAUAAACAAGCAGCAAACUUGUGCUGCAUGUAUUCUUGCUUCCUUAUGUUGACACAACAAAAUGGACAUGAAUUGGUUUGGUUUUGUUGCAUGUUUUCACUCUCGACACUUCGACUUUUAGCUUAUAGAUAUGGAUGUAAUGUUUUGAACUGGAUUAAAGUCUCCAAGACAUGGAAGCCUGUCCAGUGGACAUAAUUUAAAUGUCAUUGUCUCAGGGCACACGAUGCACAAUAAAGUUGGUAAGAAAAUCUU